AAGGGGUUGAAAAUUGAGGAGAGAAAGGUGAAUUACUUGCCGUUGGGGAGUGAGGCUCUAGAGAAGAAGGACGGACCCAAGUUCUCACUCACUCUCUCCAAGAAGGAGAUCGAAGAGGAUUUCAUACAGAUGCUCGGCCACCGCCCUCCCGCCGCCCCAAGAAGAGGCCCAAAGUGGUGCAGAAGCAAUUGGAUAUAAGUCAAUUCCAAAUUAUUACUCUUUCUUCACAAUUUCACUCAUCUUCUUCAUCUCUCUCAAAUUAACUGUCUUUCCACUUCUUCUUCUUCUUCUUCUUCUUCUUCCUUUGGUUUCUCUGGAAGCAAAGUAAUGAUAUUCAUGGUGGUUUGGAUUUACAGGCAUUGUUUUCCUAUAUAUGGUUGACGGAGUCUUAGCUGAUUCGUACAAGGUUGCGGAGUUCCCUGAAAAUGUCAAGAGGUAGCAAUUUGGAGCGAAUGCUGGCUUGUUUUGAUUGUUUUAAGGCUCGGUUUUCUGACUUCUGGUGCUGCUGGUAGCGCUAAUUAGUGUAAAUGUAAAGGUAAGCUGGGUGGCUGCUAUUAUAUGCAACUAGUUAUAUGGAAUAGAAUACCUACUCUAUGAUCUCGAUUUUGUGACUGUCUAAUGUUAAAGCUGCAUAAUAUCAGUAUCUGGUAUGGCUUGUAUGGCAGUUAUGGGAAUGAAUAACCAAAUCAUUAUGAGGGAGCUCUCACAUGUAGGGGAAUCCUUGUAUUUGCUUCUGUAAUGACAACUCUGGGACUGCAGAUCAUCUUAGAGUCUAUGCGCACCCUAAUUUCAUAUGGAAACAUUCCAGACAGUUAGAGUGGUAGUUGAGUUUGGAAGACAGGUUCUGCUAUUUAGAAUUUUUUGGGUAACAGCCUAUUUUUUUUCCUCUAAAUAUUUUGUUACUUUGCAUUCACAUUACGAUAGUGAUUUCUUUGGGCAUUUUCAGAUUGGUUUGUAUGAUGUAUGACAACAAACCGGUCUAUCUCUAAGUGUCAUAGAGAUUAUGAAGAGAAUGCUCCAAACACCGCUAUAAAUAUCGUGAAAACUUUCAUGUCUAGCUUGGUAGAUCUGUUAUUGACUUUACAAAACUGAUACAAAACUUUUUGUUUGCAUUUUAAAGUCCACUUUGCUUUUCAUUUUUUGUCUUUAUUGUUAUGUCGGUGGUGAGGUAUGCUCUGAUAUGAAUAUGUGGUAAUGAUAUUUGAUUAAUUUGCUGUUGAAAUUGGAUUUUGAUUGCCUGUGAUGUUGAAAUUUAGGUAAAGGUGGAAGCUUUUUCGGCUACUUUAAAUCUGGGGUGGGUGAUACAAUGAAAUGUUUAUUUAUUUGUUGCUCUUAGUUUUCGAGUUAGUAUAGGUAAACUAAUUUUAUCAAAUUGGAUUGAGCUUAUUGGAUGCCACGGAUUAAAGAUUAGAACGUCAUCAAUCAUUAUUUUAAGUUUCUAUUCGUUGUUGGUCUUCAUUUUCUCUUCAUCUAUCAGCAUUUGAAGGCUUUCUUUGAUUAUUAGGGACUGUUUGCUCGGUGGAGCAAGGGUUCUACGUCCUCUGUGUAUCGUGGUUCUUUAAUUUUAUCUUCACGCAUGCGAUUAGCUAUAUUGAUUGAAUUAGAGCUUAUAUAUUGGUUUGUACAUAUGAUGCAUACAAAAUGCAUCUCAUAGACAUAGGGUGAAACAAUAUAUUCUAUCAUUGAAUGAAAGUCCCUUUUGUAUAAACUUUGUUUGAACCAAUUUUUUAAUUAGUUUUCAUAUUAUAACGUUUAACAAAACAAAAUGGACAUAAAUUGUUGAAAAUCAUAGUUUCAGUUUACAUUAAUGUCAGCUGACUGAGUGGGAAGACCCUUACUUCCCUAAUCUUAAACGUAACAAUUUUGUCCCGUGGCAUCGCGCGGGUAGUCCUUCUAGUAUAUCUUCUAUGCAUCAGACUACCAACAAGAGCUAAGCACCAGACUUUAUGAAAUAUUGGAGAAGCUUCUCUGGAUUCUAAACCAUUAUCAUCAUUUUGAACUGGAAGUGAUAUUCUACAUUGAGAUCAAAAGACUGCUUAUCAUCUUUGCCUACAAGAGAGCUUCUGCAAGAACAAAUGAAGGUGCAUUAAAGGAAAGCAGGAGUAAUCUAUGUAGUUUAGGUCUUCCUAGCUAGAACAUUUUACAAGUACAGACUCAAUCUCUGUUGUCCCUAGCUUGAAUUAUAGGGAUUGUAGUACUGUUUCUAUGGUCAUAUAUUGAGCAUUAUUUCAGGAAAACGUUUA